GCCGUCGACGCAGUCGGCUCGCGACUGGCGAGCGAGUCAGAGUGCGACCUCCGCGGCGGCCGCGGCUGCUCGAGCCAUCGACGGAGAGCUGUAGGCCCGCGUUCCGCGUUCUCCGUGGCUGUCGGCCUGCGACCGGUCGAGCAUGGCCUAUCACCACCGCGAUAGCCUAGGCAGUCAGCAGCGCUACGGCUACAGGGACCCGGAGGCCGAGGUGUCCGAGCAGAUAUCGCGUCACCAUGAUCUCGAGCGCGGACUCGAACGCAUGCAGGAGGUGCACGACAGAGGCCCCACUCUCGCCCACGUCGUCAUGGAGGAGUGCAGAGAAGCCAAAAUCAGAAAGCAAAAUAAACAAAUUCUUAUUAGUGUUGGAGUUACUAUAGGCUUAAUUGUUGCUGUCAUAUGGUUUGUAGUAACGAGAUGAAUGCUUAGAUCCUGAGUUAUUCAUAUUGCAAGAGCUGCUGAACCAAAAAAUAAUGAAAUGCUGUGCCAUUAUAAAAUCUUAAUCUUUAUUUUGGAACUUUUCCAUCUCUCUCCUAAAAUUCAAAAUUAAUUAGUACUCACAAUUCGUAUUAAAAUAAUUAUUUUCUAAGGAUUAUCUUUACUACAAAACCCCUCUUAAUAAUUUUAUUUACAAUUUAUUACAAUAUAUACCAAAUAUCUGUAUGUAUUCUUAUAAAAAAUAUUAUUAGUAUUUCUUUAGCAUCAAUAAGAUUUGUUAUGUUUUACAUCUGAAACACAAUGUACUUAUAUUUUACGAUAAUAAGUGUGCAUAAACCAAUAUUUUCUCCAACAUUCUCUUAUCAUUAAAUUUUUUAUAUUUCGAGUUCAAAAAUAAUUCGAAUACUUUCAAUGUUUUAUAAGGCUGAUAACAUCCAAUAGAUCUUUUGUAACAAUAGCGGUUUAGAAAAAAAUGUAUGAACUUUGUUUAAGUGUAUUAUUCAAUAGUAUAAAUACCGAAAACUGUAGAUCUAAUUUUCUGACUCAUAGUAUGUAUUCGAACUAUGCUAGCCUUUAUAAGAGGUACAAUAAAAAGAACCAGACUUUAUGAGCCUUGAAAUAUGACCAAUCUUAUUAAUUUUACUUGUAAUUUAUUGCAAUAUAUACCAAAUAUUAAAUUAAUAUUUAUUUGUAUGAAAUAUAAAUUGUUAUCAGUAUAUACCAGUGCAUCAAUGUUCAAUUUCUUUAAAUCAUUGCAGUAACGAUAUAAUAGUUUUUAUAGAUGUGAAUAUUGGUAGAAAUAACAAGGUAGAAUGUAUUGAAAUAUUUUUAUACGUAGAUACUAUUAUAUUUGCAUGAAAAGACCACUGCUGAUUAAGCAACGCAAAAACUAACUGCCUUUACUAUGUAUGUAUCAACUAUGCUUGUACUAGUUAUUUCAUAUAUUAUCGUUUUGGCUUUUAUAAUACAAAAUAGUUAUUUAUAAGCAGCGAUAAUUUAGUAUUUGUUAAGGGUAGACAUAACUUGUUUAUUAUGAUAAUUUCUAAUUUAUUUUUAAAUUGUAAGAACAACGAUGUGUAAGUACUGCACAGCCAAAUAAAGUUUUACAUCCAAAUCUAAAUUCUAAAAAUAAAUGAAAUUUGCCAAUUUCUUUGUCCAAAGUAUCUUUUUGUUUAAAAGUUGAAAUCUUGAGAAGAAAGUGACUGGAAAAAUUGUAAUUAGAAUUCACAGCUUGACGAGUGCGGUCAAAAGCUUCAUAAUACCAGACAAAAGCAUGAAAAAAGAAGGUUUAUAAUUAACCGUGGAAAUAUCUGUCUGAAAAAAAAAAGAAAAAGAAAAUUAAAACGGCUGGUACGCUGUUUAAAAAAGUUUUUUCCUCCUAUAUAGAGUAAUGAUUUCAUAUAAAAUCGUAAUACUUCUACUUUUAAGAUGACUAUUCAAGAAAAAACUCAAUUAUAGGAAUUUUAGUACACCAGAAUUAUUUGACAGGGCGUUAUAUAAAAGCAAAAUACCGGAGAUAGCAGAAGGUAGCAUACUAAGAUUUUCUUUAGGGUUUCAUAUCACGUAAGUUUACUUUACAGUCUUGCACGUGGUGCUUUAAAAGCACACAGUUGCGGUAUAUAUUACUGCAAGUAAGAUAUAGCUGCCUGAUGCAGAUCGAGCAAGGAAAAGGAAAUUUAUUCGUUUGUAUUGGCAAUUCCAACAUUCUUUUUUCGUGAGCAAGAGUAUAAGACUGUCGAGCAAUCCUCGGAAGGCGAAGCAGCCACCGAGGUCACGUUUUCCUCCAAUCGCAUGCACGAUAUCUAUAUCUAUAUCUCAUGCUACAGACGCCAAAGUGGGCUGUGCCGGUCAUUGAGUAGCACUGGUGACCCUUAUUUCGUCAAAUAUAUUUUCGCCUGGUUUUUCAAUAUAACUUGUUGUUUCGUUUCGAUCGUUAGUACUUUGGAAGAACUAUGUAAGUCAAGUGCUAUAUACAAAUAUCGACUUUUAGUUCUCUUGUCAAGUGUGUGCACGUAUGUAUUUAAAUAUAUUCAAUUUUCGUUACUAAUACUAGUAUUGGAUACAAACUAUCCAAUUUAACAAUGGGCAUUUUUCAAAAUAAAUUUUUAUUACAUGAUAAUUUUACACAGGUAUUUGUAUAAUAGAACUAUUUUUGUAAAGCUCCUCCGAGACAUCUUUCAAUCAUAUAAAUGAUCGAUCAUUAUUCAUAACGUCGUUCAAUGCACUUUGGAGAUACAUGAUUCAUCCACUUUCAUCUUUACAUGCACGGAUUGAAAACUGCUGAAAGCAAUCUUUGAACUCUAAUCCUUAGAGCACACUUUCCGAGCACAUAUGAGCAAUGACUGCUGCGGAUACGCGGGAAAUGAAAAAGACAACAGCGAUCUGCGUUAUUGAGUAACAGCGAGAGCGACGGGGAAAGUAAGAAAGCGCAAAUAAAAAGACAAGAUAAGGAAAAGCGGAAGAUCUAUAAAAAGUCCAGUGCUGUCGAAGACAGCUGGGACCGAUAUAUUGGCAGUAGAACUUUCAGAGGCUAUCGAGCCUUUGUCUACUCCGGCGUUUAUAGACUGAUUUUGAACGUAUUCAGCAGAUUGAAUAUUGACAUACGUAUUUUUUCGCGUAUGAAUAUUUGUGCUUGAUGUCUUCAUUGCCUUAUAUAUGUAUAAUCCAAAUAUCCCUUUCAAGUUUGAGCAGAAUGUAAAAUUGACUUUCAGAUGUUUAAGUAUACUUUGUUAUAACGUGGUAAAAUUGUUAAGUUUCAUCUUUUGUAUUUUUUGAAAUAUAUUUUUCGUUAGGUUCACUUCUUUUGAUCGCUACAGCUUUUAGGGAAAGAAAUAGUGUCAAACAAUCAAUUUUGACGAAUAAGACACCGAUAUACUUUGAUUUUUUGAUAUUUUCUCAGCAAAAAUUUUUUUAGAUACUUAGCUCUCCCAAGUCUAACUGCAGUAUCAUCAUAUUAAAUAUCAAAUUUCAUUUUCAAGAACUUUUUGAACCAGUACCUACGCGAGUCUCAACUCUUGCGCUAAAAUCGUAUUCUGAUUCUAUUAAUUGAACUUUAAAUAAUAAAAUGAACAGAUAAAAUUUGACAAAAGAUAGCUCAUUAUGCUUUCCUUAGUGCUCGAGCUAGUCAGCUCGUUUCUACGUCGGUCUAAUAAAACUUUGAGAAAAGCACUUGUAUCAAUGAUAACUUCCAUACCCACUGGUUCCAAAGCGAUCGCGCGAAGAAGGUAAAAUAGAGAUCUGUCGUAAAACUUCAUAUGAUUACUUGGCGCAUCGAUCAGAAAAUCGAAUAAUGGAAAUAGCUGUAAGCAAUACGUCUCGCGAAAGAAAACUAGGACGUCAAAUUUUCAAAAUUAGGCGACAUUGUUUGACGGACAGGAAAUUUUACAGCGAUCAAUGAAAUCAGUUGGAAUUGACAACAUAAAACUGUACUGGUACAGUGAGAUUGCGUGACGAUUCGCGAUGGAAUUUCCUCGUGCUGAUGUUGUUGACAUGACAUCAUAGCGGUCGUCGGCCGAAGUGCAGGUGGCGGCAUCAACAGUCGGAGUCACUCGGUUACUUAGUCUCCAGUCGGUCGACUCGCCUAUAACAGAUACAAAAUGUUAUGCUCUAAUUUGAUAAAAUCUGUUAUGACGAAACUGUUGUACUAAAAUUUGAUAAAAAUGGUUCAUCACGAUGGAUCAUGCCGAUACUAGCAUAGUAUUUUUUUAUUCAACGGAAAAUAGAAAAUACUAUUGGUUGCAUUGCUUUAGUUAUAUUCGUUAUUGUUGGAGGCAUUAUUUUAGCGACACGUAGUAGGAACAGUCGUCACUUUUGAAGCUGCAAAUAUUCCAUGUACGACAUUGAAUUUUCAUAAUUCUAUGUAAGAUAACAGAUAUAAGAUGAGUUAUAAUAUAGU